GACGAACGCUGGCGGCGUGCUUAACACAUGCAAGUCGAACGGAAAGGCUCCAGCUUGCUGGAGUACUCGAGUGGCGAACGGGAGAGUAACACGUGGGUGAUCUGCCCUGCACUUCGGGAUAAGCCUGGGAAACUGGGUCUAAUACCGGAUAGGACCGCACUUUGGUGUGUGUGGUGGAAAGGUUUUUCUGGUGUGGGAUGAGCUCGCGGCCUAUCAGUUUGUUGGUGGGGUAAUGGCCUACCAAGACGGCGACGGGUAGCCGGCCUGAGAGGGUGGACGGUCACAUUGGGACUGAGAUACGGCCCAGACUCCUACGGGAGGCAGCAGUGGGGAAUAUUGCACAAUGGGGGAAACCCUGAUGCAGCGACGCCGCGUGGGGGAUGAAGGCCUUCGGGUUGUAAACUCCUUUCGCUAGGGACGAAGCUUUUUGUGACGGUACCUGGAGAAGAAGCACCGGCUAACUACGUG
rnacentral:rRNA from 1 species